CUUUCAACAACGGAUCUCUUGGCUCCGGCAACGAUGAAGAACGCAGCGAAAUGCGAUAAUUAAUGUGAAUUGCAGAAUUUUGUGAAUCAUCGAAUCUUUGAACGCACAUUGCGCCCUCUGGUAUUCCGGGGGGCACGCCUGUUCGAGCGUC
rnacentral:rRNA from 1 species